UACGGGGGGGGCAAGCGUUGUUCGGAAUUACUGGGCGUAAAGGGCUCGUAGGCGGCCAACUAAGUCGGAUGUGAAAUCCCCAGGCUUAACCUGGGAACUGCAUCCGAUACUGGAUGGCUUGAAUCCGGGAGAGGGAUGCAGAAUUCCAGGUGUAGCGGUGAAAUGCGUAGAUAUCAGGAGGAACACCGGUGGUGUAGACGGCUUUCUGGACCGUAA
rnacentral:rRNA from 1 species